rnacentral:rRNA from 1 species
UACGUAGGGCGCAAGCGUUAUCCGGAAUUAUUGGGCGUAAAGAGCUCGUAGGCGGUCUGUCGCGUCUGCUGUGAAAACUCAGGGCUUAACCCUGAGCUUGCAGUGGGUACGGGCAGACUAGAGUGCGGUAGGGGAGACUGGAAUUCCUGGUGUAGCGGUGAAAUGCGCAGAUAUCAGGAGGAACACCGGUGGCGAAGGCGGGUCUCUGGGCCGUAACUGAACGCUGGAGGAGCGAAAGCAUGGGGAGCGAACAGG